rnacentral:tRNA from 1 species
GCGGGGGUCCCCUAGCGGCCAAUGGGACUAGGCUCAGAACCUAGUGGCUUAGUGCCUUCGCAGGUUCAAAUCCUGCCCCCCGCA